CCUGCUUUGGUACUGGGGGUACAGCUGUGUCCCACGCGGGGUCCUUCCGUCCGUCCGUCCAUCCAUCCAUCCAUCCAUCCAUCCAUCCAUCCAUCCAUCCAUCCAUCCAUCCAUCCAUCCAUCCCUCCCUCCCUGAGUGGGCGGCGGCUGGUGUGUGUGUGUGACUGACAGUGAGGCGCGCUCAGCGCGGGGGCAGCCGCUCGCACGCAGCCCGCGGGGGCCACGCCGGCGCGCCCCGGCUGCGGCAGCCGCUUCUCCGUCCCCCGGAGCCCUCCCCGGUGGGGACAACCUCAGCGGCCUCGCUGCUCGUCCUCCUCCUCCUCCCUCCUGGCGGGUAGGUUACAUUACCUGGUCUCUAGCUCGGACUGGAUCUAAUCCCGCGGCCGCCGCCGGCUCGUCUCCCGGCCGCGGGGGACCUUCGCCUUCUGAAACGGGAACUGAAAUUGGGCUCGUCAGCAUCGAGUUGCUGAUGAAAAUCUUGGUCACCUCAGCAUUUGCCGUCUUUUUGUCUCCUUAAGAAAAAAAAAGUUAUGAGAAGUGUUUUGUACAUGUGAUAAGCAUAUUUAUGAAAGUGACCGCUAAAUUAUCUAGAAAUCCUGUCCUUAAGGCUAAAAACCUGUAAGGAAAUAAACAUAAUUAUAUAAUUGCCUAAUUAAAACCUUUACCAUAAUGCCUAUUCUCGUCUAAAGGUUACACAUUAAGUGCAGUGCUUAAGUACUGUGAGGAGAAUAAUUAUAGUUGUUGACAUUGUGUUGUGAAAUGUACAAAAAAAAAGUUAAUAUCUUUUUGAAAAAAAACCCCCCACUUGACUUCAAGCACUUUGUGCACUGAGUUAGAGCUUUAUGAUCAGGAUCAUUACAGGCAUGUUAGGAACGGAGACUGCCUGUGCAUGGACAGGCAGUUCAUGGGCUGUAGUUGGGAGUAAUGUAGUUUCCUGAACUGCUAGUAAAGGAAGGAAAGACUUGAACUUGUGCAGUUUAUUUUUGUCUGUUUAUUUUCCAUUAAUAACAUUUGAAUCUUUUAGCUAGAAUCAACCACAACUAACAAAAAGUUCUGAAAAAUAAUCUGGAAAAGAGCAUACCACCCUUCAAAAAACCAGCAUCAUGAAUGGUAAUUACAUGAAAGAAUCCAUCCACAGACAACUGCUGUCUGAAUCACAAAUUAAUAAAAAUCAGGUUUCUUUGUCGCCUUGUCUUAAUAAUUGAUUUGCUUUUAUGUGAGAAGUGUUCGGAACUUUUCUAUGUUUUAAACUGUAACCAUUAAAUCAGAAGACACAGACCUGGAAAUCUCAGUAAUGUAACAUUUAAGCAUUCCUUCAUUCUUUAGGAUGUUAUUGUUAUUAUUUAUGUAUCGUCCAUUCCAGGCCAAGUUUUUCAGAUUCAGGAGGGAAUACUUUGUCACAUGUCUGUAAAGCAGCCAGCUCUCUACAGUCUCUGGGCAGCUUCUGGCACUGUACUCAUAAGGAACAGUAAGUAGUUCACUGUAGAGAGGGCAAACACUGUUCUUCCUGAAACAAACUGAGCAGCGUGGAGUCAAUUUGUGACAUUGCAUAAGUUAAGUAGUACUUGAAUUAUGUAUCUGAGUCCAGGGGCAUUUUUAGGAGCAAUCACGGUGACUGCCAGGGCAGCAAGCAGAAGUCACAGUUGCGUUAUUUAGGCAGCAACACCAGCCAUCUCUUGUGCAAGUGUGUCAAAGAGCCUGUGCCCAGCUCACAGUCACUCUGUCUGUCCUGGCAGCAGGCUGCACUACAGCCUUUGGAAGGCCAAGGACCCACGAGGGGCCCUCUAAGACUGUUGGAGGGAGAACAGACACUAAGCCAGGACUCGGGCAUGCAGGCAAAGAAAGCUUGGGUACUGAUGGCCAUGGUCAAACUCUUCCAGGCAGGUCCACAGCUACAGGGUAAAAAAUGUUGAAAUUAGGAUGAAAUUGGAUGUAAAAUCUUUUGUUAAAAAAAGCUUCCAGUGAUGAAAUCAAAGUGGUAUUCUUGGUUUUACAGCAGUCUAAAGCCAUCUUCCAUAUUCAAACACUUUUUAUGCCCUGAAGAAAAUUGUAGGCCAUAUAGGACCUCAGACAGUUCCUGUAAAAUGCAAAGCAUGUCUACAAUGCCCUUUACCGUGAAACGGUAAAGCUUACAUGCUGUUUUAUAUAAUUUUAGGAAAGUAAUUUUCAAAGAGAGCUGAAAAAUAAAUACAGGAAGAUAGAAAUGAUACCUGGUUUUUAUUGCAUACUUCUAUUUCCUCCAAUGAUAUGCCCAACUAAAAUAAAUAUAUAUGUAUAUAGAUAUAAAUAUUUAUUUUUAAUUUGUAAAUUUAUGCUAAAUAUUAUACAAAAUAAUUUUACACAGUGUAAAAUUUAUAGUAUUACACUUAUAUGUCGUAAGGUGUAUCACACAGACAGUAUUUGCUGUAGUACAUAGUACAUGCUGCAUGCAGUAUGUAACAAAACGCUACAAAAGUGUAAGUUGAUGUAUUCUGUGCUUGUAAAUAAGUUUUUAUUUAUAUUAUACUGCAUAUAUUAACAUCUAUAUGGAUAUAGCAGAUUGUAUUAUCACAUGUUAACCAUCACAGCCAUAAACAUCUUCUGUAUAUACCUAUAUGCCUCAUGCAGCUUCUUUCAAUACCUCUUUUCAGACCACUCUCUGUAGGAAAGGUGAUCUUAAUUGACUCAGUGUUGCUGUGUGCUUCAUUGCAUUUGGUGUUUUCCAGUGCAAGGCAGAGUCAGAACAUAAGCUAGCUGCAGGUGUAACAGUGUGGGUUCUGGCCUACAGUUGGCACAAGUUCAGAUACAGCAUGCUAUGUGCCUCCAGCCUGCCUAAAGGCACAAAAAUUACCAUGAACCUUCAGACUAGAAGUUGAUGCAUUAAUUAAUUUUUUACUUGGACUUUGAUUGCAGUGAUAUCAUGUUUUUAAGUGAAUAGACUCCUCUGUGAGUGUGUGUAGAGUGAAGGCACUGAAGUGGUUUGGUUCUCAGUUGUAGAUUGAAAAACUCUGUUGGCAUUCUGCCUCUUUCCAGUCUUGGUGCACCUUUGCUGUAGGAAGUCUAUUAUUCAGACUAAAAAUGUUUAAUGAGUGAUAGCAAUUAAUAAUUUCUGAGUGAAUUUUAAGAAGCUACUAACGGUUCAGAUCUCUGUGUGCAUGUGCGUGUGUCUGUGUAUGGGAGUGUGGCAUUCUUUACUUUUCAGUGAACUAAUUGUUAAGAAGAAAUUAAAUCAACUGUUAAGAAGAAGUUAAAUCAACUAAUAAAUGUAUGACAAGAGUCACCUCUCUGGUUGGUAAUUUUGUGUCCAGUUGAUAGAUAGAUUUUUUUGAGGUUGCGUGUUAAACACUAUCCUGUUUUUGUUGUAACAGAUUGAGGUUUUUUAGUGAUAUUAACAUAAAAGACCUUUAAAUGCUAUUUUUUCACUAGAGAAAAAGAAAAUGCUACAAAUGUUGAAUACUUGAUGGUACUUUUUGUAAGUUUCUCCACUAACUGUUUGGGUAAGUCCCCUUUGGAAUAGUCCCUUUUCCCCACAUGCCACUUGUCAAACAGUUUUAGCUGAAUCCAGAAUUUUUACAGGUCUCUUCUAAGCUUAGAACUUCUCUGCUACAUUACAAGUCAUGUCUUCUUGUCCCAGAGUCUGAAUCUAAAGGGUGCAUGUUUACGAUCAUGUGUUGUUCUGGCACACGUCAGAUUGCAUUCUGAUUAUAUUCUAUUUUUUCUGCACUGAUUUUGGUUCCAUAAAUACACAUCGCAAACUUCUCUCAUGUCCAUAAGCAGGCUGGUGUGGUGUGUAUUCUUGUCAUCUCCAAGUGAUACACAGGAUAACAACACAAGUAUUGUAUUGGCAAAUCAUCUAGGCCACCUUCUGUAAGCUUUAUAUGAACUGCUAGUAAUUGUCAGCCUGUGUCUCACUCCACCUUCAUUCAUACACACAGCAUAACAUUUAUGUCACUAGCAAAACACUUAAUCCUAGUCCUGUUAGUGAAAGAGAUACAUGUACUUCAAGUUUUGUGAUAAAAAUCAUAUAAAUAUAACUAGAACAUAGAAUUCUAUGAUAGUAUGUAGCCAGAGCGUGUCUUUCCAUUGAGGUUAGUUUUCUCUGUAACCAUCAACCAUGGCCCAACCAAAUUGUUUUCUUUUGCAGCUCAUGGUGACACAGAACACAGCACAUUGUAACUACAGGAACAGACUCGACUGUGAAAGAUCUCUAUCAGGCAUCACAGAGAAUUUGAGGCAGCUGGCAGUUAUCAGCUGAAGCAGUUAGUCACUAGAACUGUACAAGAUAAAUAGAUAAUUGAAAAGCCAUCUGGAAACCUGGGAGAGAUAAUAAGCCUCUCUUCUAGAAGUGAGGUAACAACUCAGGUAGGUCACAGAUGAACUCAACUCCCAGAUCGGUGCUUUGCCUAAUAACACUGAAAAUGCAGCAGCAGUUCAUGCCUGUCAGUUCUGAAGUAGUAUUGAGGUUGUUGUUGGAAAGGCAGUUUGGCAUAUUCAGUUAUACAAAUCAUUAUUGCAAUAGAGUGAAAAAGGAUUGUAGUGCCGUAAGACAGGUGACCAAAAUCCCCAGAGCAACAUGGCCCUUUGUUAAAUUACAGUUGCCUAAAUAGAAAACUAGUUGCACGCACUUUUGACCCUCUGUGCUACCUUGUUUAUACUGCUGUGCAAGUGGUAGUAUUCCUGCCACGCUGACCACGGUUGUCUGUGGGGCAAGUUACUUCUUUUUUUGUGAAAUUUAUAUUUAUAUUGAGAUAAUGGAACUAUCUUUGUUUUAUUUACCAUGAGCACAAAGAAUGGAGCAGAAGGGCCGAUGUCUAUGAGUGAAAGAAUGUGUUGAUCUUAGUAGUUGGAUUUUAAAAGAGUCCUAAAGAAUCUUUCUGUUCAAGUCACUCUUAUGAUUCUCAAAUUUCUGACUACAGAAAGUGUGACAUCUUGCAUGAACAUGCCAGGAAAUUGAUACCAUUUGGUAACUCCUCUUGCUAGGUUCUGAUCUCUUAUAGAACUAUAUUGAUUGUAGGGCAAGAACAUGAGAUAUUUUUGUGAGCAUGGGCACAGAAAAUAAGUUUUUGGCCUUUUCAAAAAAAGAAAGUGGCAUCUUGCCAUCAGAGAAGUGCUUGAGUUGAUCCACUGACAUCUGUCUAUUCUGUUAAACCAGUCAGGUGGAUCACAGGAAAUAACUGCUGCCAGUGUAAUAUUAAUUCUUGUAGAGGUGAACAAAACAAAACAAAGCAAAAACCCCAAAAACCC